rnacentral:misc_RNA from 1 species
GGAUCAGGUUGUACGCGGCGCCGGCCCACGCCGUCUCCGUCAUGACCCCCGUCGCCAUGACGAUCCGCCCCGAGAGCGGGAAUAUCUGGAACAACCGCGGGAGGUACUGGAAGAUGAUGCUGAACCGGAGGAUGUUCUUCGUGUUCGCCGUCCGGGAGUACUCAUUCAGCCUUGGUAUAACGAUCCAGAUCACGAACUGCAUGCAUGACAAACCAAAAGCCUCACUGUUCAGUCUCGCAACUGACACACGUCAUCAAUGGCUGCGUGCGGGAGCUGACCUGCGGCAAGGGCAGCGCCGUGACGAGAUCGAACCAGAACGUCCGGCCAAGGUACCUCCUGGCGAUCUCGUAGGGCUGGAUGACGAGCUCGCCCCGCCCGAACACGCGCGACGACGGCGCGAUGAAGGCGGUGCGGAAGCGGAACAGGAUGUGCGCGGCGUAGAAGAGGUCCAGCAGCGAGCGGACCAUGGACAGCGUGAGCGCCAGCGAGUCCUUGAACUCGACGCACGUGUUCCGCUGCGUGCCCGUCAGGUACAGGAACAGCGGGUCCACGAACAGCGACAGCAGGCAGGCGGACAGGAAGAUCUUGUUCCACAGGUGGAUCAGCUGCCCGCGCGGGUCGAAGAAGAGGUGGCUGCCGCCGGCGGCGUGCAUCAGGGACUCCAGCUCCUCCGAGAAGGCGCGCGAGAGCAC